GACGAACGCUGGCGGCGUGCUUAACACAUGCAAGUCGAACGGUGAACGAGGGAGCUUGCUCCCUCCGGAUCAGUGGCGAACGGGUGAGUAACACGUGAGCAAUCUGCCCCGAACUCUGGGAUAAGCGUUGGAAACGACGUCUAAUACCGGAUACGACGCGGGAGGGCAUCCUCUCCGCGUGGAAAGAACUUCGGUUCGGGAUGAGCUCGCGGCCUAUCAGCUUGUUGGUGAGGUAACGGCUCACCAAGGCGACGACGGGUAGCCGGCCUGAGAGGGUGACCAGCCACACUGGGACUGAGACACGGCCCAGACUCCUACGGGAGGCAGCAGUGGGGAAUAUUGCACAAUGGGCGCAAGCCUGAUGCAGCAACGCCGCGUGAGGGACGACGGCCUUCGGGUUGUAAACCUCUUUUAGCAGGGAAGAAGCGAAAGUGACGGUACCUGCAGAAAAAGCACCGGCUAACUACGUG
rnacentral:rRNA from 1 species